rnacentral:lncRNA from 1 species
AUGAAGGCCGGGCGCCCAGCUCUGCCCUCGUCACCCCACCUCCAGGGAGGAAAUGUGGUUCCAGGCCCUCGCCGGCCUCCGUCUUCCCACCUGGACGGCAACUCUGAUCGGGCUGUUUGCACCUGCGAAAGGCCUCCCCGGAGACCAGCCCCUGGUCUGGCAGGGCCCCCGGCCUCCUUCCCACUGAAGUCGGCGUGGAGGUCGCUGGCCUCCAACGAUGAGCCCGCCCGAGCUUGGGGGGUCUGGGGAGGACCCGGCGCUUGGACCCCGUCUUCCAACAGAAGCCAGGGGACCGAGGAACCCGAAGCUCCUGCCCAACGGCUCAGUCGGCACGUCCCCGCCCUUCGAGAUCCAGCGUUUCCUUUUGUCGCCUCGUCAUGUGACGAAUGUCAUUCGAAACGCCCGUCAGUCCUCAGCGUUUAUCGCAAAAGCCACCCCCGCCUGGAUUCCCACCCCCGCCCCGGAAGCGAAGGUUGGCCGCGUUCAGCUUUUCGCCUGUCUUGGCCUUGCUUUGGUUUUGCGGGUUUGGCACUUGGCUCCCCGUUUCCAAAGGACCUGCCGUUGUGCUGUGCCCCUCAUCUCGUCAUCCUUCCCUCCAGGUGGCAGAGACGCAUCGAGCGCGCCCAGCGCCCCGUCCCCCAUAGAGGGAAGCCCCACUUUCCAUUCAACCUGACCCAACGUUCAUCCAUUAGUUAACGUAUGGACUAAAAGUUCUGAAUGAGGCUCACAGGUACAUCAGCUCCCCGCUGUGUCUCCGUCCUACUCUCUCCUCACCCCCAGGGCAGCCCCCGGGGUACGUUCUCCAGUCUCUUGUGUCUCCACCACCAGUUCCUCCCUGAGCUUUUCCGCAAAGCUGGGAGAACCCACCCUCCUGUUUUUCAUGGCGGGGGCGGGGGGGGGGGGGGGGGGGGGGNGGGGGGGGGGGGGGGGGGGGGGGGGGGGGGGCGGCUGGUCCAGCCCAGUUUUCUCUCUGGAUACAUCCAUCUGGACGGCGUUGUCUCACCCCUGCUCGCGGGGCUCCGUCUUCCCCUUUGAUGGCCCCGAUCCUGGUCCCACAUCUUCCGGCUUGUGGUUUUGAAACUGACAGCACUAAGGACUCAAACCCAGCCUAAACCCUGUUCGGGAGUUGAACCCACGGUUGUUAACAUAGAAUCCCUCACCCGGUGUCCGGACUUACGGAGGGUCAGCUUCUUUGUGUCCCAGCACAGAAGGAAAUCAAGUGAUAAGCAAGAAAUAGAUUUAUGAAGACAGGACGCUCGUGAGAGACGCCAGCGGGCAGGCAGGGGGCCUCUGCCCCGAGGGUCGGGUGGGCUCUGUUUCUAAUCCACCCGGAGUGGGGCUGGGGAAGGACCCCCGCUUCCUCCUUCGUCAAAGUGCUUUUUCCCUUCCGCAGAGGGCGGUCCUUCAACGCCUGCCCUUGGUGCUAAGGAUCUUCUUGGGGCUGAACUUGAACGCAGGCCUCAUUUUAAUGACCUGAGGCAUAGCUGGUGCUUUUAUUUGUGGUUUUGUUAAGCAAGCCGGCUUCUUUCUGAUGACUUUCUGGAGCGACCAUUAACCUCCGUGGUCUCCCGAAGCCCCCUAGGUUUCCCUGUCUCUCUGUGGUCCCCUCCUGGGACUUGCACAACUGCCCGUGUGACUGUCCUGCUCCAUGCCUGUCAGCUGUGUGCUCUCCUUUGCUGUUUGGCCUCCGGGAAGU